rnacentral:misc_RNA from 1 species
GUAGGUGAACCUGCGGAAGGAUCAUUAAAAAUGAAGCCGGGAAACCGGUCCUUCUAACCCUUGAUUAUCUUAAUUUGUUGCUUUGGUGAGCCGCGCAAGCACUGGCUUCGGCUGGUUAGUGCCCACCAGAGAACCCUCAACUUUGAAUUAUAGUGUCGUCUGAGAAUUAUCAAAUAGUUAAAACUUUCAACAACGGAUCUCUUGGUUCUG